GUGGGGAAUCUUGCGCAAUGGGCGAAAGCCUGACGCAGCCAUGCCGCGUGAAUGAUGAAGGUCUUAGGAUUGUAAAAUUCUUUCACCGGGGACGAUAAUGACGGUACCCGGAGAAGAAGCUCCGGCUAACUUCGUGCCAGCAGCCGCGGUAAUACGAAGGGGGCUAGCGUUGCUCGGAAUUACUGGGCGUAAAGGGCGCGUAGGCGGACAGCUUAGUCAGAGGUGAAAGCCCAGGGCUCAACCUUGGAAUUGCCUUUGAUACUGGCUAUCUUGAGUAUGGAAGAGGUAUGUGGAACUCCGAGUGUAGAGGUGAAAUUCGUAGAUAUUCGGAAGAACACCAGUGGCGAAGGCGACAUACUGGUCCAUUACUGACGCUGAGGCUCGAAAGCGUGGGGAGCAAACAGGAUUAGAAACCCCAGUAGUCC
rnacentral:rRNA from 1 species